rnacentral:rRNA from 1 species
UGGGGAAUAUUGCACAAUGGAGGGAACUCUGAUGCAGCAACGCCGCGUGCGGGAUGACGGCCUUCGGGUUGUAAACCGCUUUCAGCCAUGACGAAGCUUUUGUGACGGUAGUGGUAGAAGAAGCACCGGCUAACUACGUGCCAGCAGCCGCGGUGAUACGUAGGGUGCGAGCGUUGUCCGGAAUUAUUGGGCGUAAAGAGCUUGUAGGCGGUUUGUCGCGUCGAUAGUGUAAACACGCAGCUUAACUGUGUGCCUGCUGUCGAUACGGGCUGACUAGAGGAGGGUAGGGGAGAAUAGAAUUCCCGGUGGAGCGGUGGAAUGCGCAGAUAUCGGGAGGAACACCAGUGGCGAAGGCGGUUCUCUGGACCUUUCCUGACGCUGAGAAGCGAAAGCGUGGGUAGCAAACAGG